rnacentral:rRNA from 1 species
UGGCCAGACUCCUACGGGAGGCAGCAGUCGGGAAUAUUGCGCAAUGGAGGAAACUCUGACGCAGUGACGCCGCGUAUAGGAAGAAGGUUUUCGGAUUGUAAACUAUUGUCGUGAGGGAAGAAAUUGACAGUACCUCAGGAGGAAGCCCCGGCUAACUACGUGCCAGCAGCCGCGGUAAUACGUAGGGGGCAAGCGUUAUCCGGAUUUACUGGGUGUAAAGGGAGCGUAGACGGCGACGCAAGUCUGAAGUGAAAUGCCAGUGCUCAACACUGGAACUGCUUUGGAAACUGUGUGGCUAGAGUGCAGGAGAGGUAAGUGGAAUUCCUAGUGUAGCGGUGAAAUGCGUAGAUAUUAGGAGGAACACCAGUGGCGAAGGCGGCUUACUGGACUGUAACUGACGUUGAGGCUCGAAGGCGUGGGGAGCAAACAGGAUUAGAUACCCCUGUA